rnacentral:SRP_RNA from 1 species
GCUGGGUGUGGUGGCGCGCACCUGUAAUCCCAGCUACUCGGGAGGCUGAGGCAGGAGAAUCGCUUGAACCCAGGAUGCGAAGGUUGCAGUGAGCAGCCUGGGUAACAGAAUGAGACUCUGUCUCAA